UGCAUACUCCCAAAAUAAAACCUUACCAAGCCCAUUUUCUGUCUUAUUACCAUUAGAACUUGUUCCUCUCAUCCUCCUCCAUAACUCCACCUAUCAGUCACAAACAACAGGGAAGCCCUGCAGGCGCGCGCUGCUGAGCUGAGAAACACAAUCCAGCCUUUGAAUGUGAGCAAUGAAUGUUUGGAAGAUAGCAGAUGUGAACUAAAACAGGUCACCUUGUUAAGAAGCACAGACAAGUGGCGGAGAUAAAGCAAAACACCUUGAAAUGCCAUUGGUGGUGAGUGAUAGUGCAGAGAUGUUAUCGCAGAGUAAUCAGCGCGAUCAGCAGGGAGUUAUCUGUGUCAGAUGGACAGUUUUUACUUUUUUUUUUUAUUCCUGCACACAUCCACACCGGGAGCCUGGAGCAGGCUGCCCUUCACCUACCGUACCUUUGGUGUGAGCGGCGCUCAGCCCCGCAGCAAGCGCAGCCAACACGCAGACCAGCCUCAGCCUCAGCAUCUUCUCGGUGGGAGAUUCAGCAACUGCUGUAGGAGAUGGACCACAGCGACCUCUUCCCUCCUCCUCCUCCUCCUUCUGCUUCUCUCUCCUCUCUUUUUCUUCUUGCCACCCUUUCUUUCUGAUUUAAGGAGCGGUUUCUCUCCUCCGUCUCUGUCAGAGUGGAAACAGUUGACUGUCGGAUGCGGGACAGGAGGAGCGGCGUGGAGAAGCAGCAGCAGUCCGACCCUGACGCGCGUCUCUCCGUAGCUACGAGAAGCGGCAGGUGAGGCGGACUGAGCCGAGCUGAGACGGGACCAGAGAGCGGCGCACCUCCAGUCCACACCGAGCGACGUCACAGGGAGGAGAGACGGAGCCACUUCUCAGCAGCAUCUGAGCUCCGUCUCAGGUGACUUCAACCUACUAUUCCUUGUCACGAUUUGGCUAAGUUGCCCUGGAAGUCCCAGGAAACGGCAUAAAGAAAAGCCCAGUUUAAAGUCGGUUUCUCCACCUCUAUGAAGGACCCUCUCAGAAACGCCGUCCCAUGGACUCUCUGCUUCUUUUCCUCCAGCAGUCUGGCUGGAGAUCCCUCUGUGCACAGCGAGUGUGACAGAUAGAAAAGCACUCUCAUGGAUCUUAAUUUGAUCAUUUGCUGAACACAUGGAGAGAACAGAAACUCCAUCUUCUUCAUUUCUGAACCUAAUGGUCCAUUGUGCUGCUAUUUGGAAUGUAAUCAUAGAAAGAAACGAACCCCUUUACUGUAGUUGUGCAUUGUUUUGUGUCAGACUAAAGUGGUAGUUAAACCCUUUUUUUUCUCCACUCUAUGGAGAAAACAUUUGAACUUGAUGUUGCAGACCAACCAAGGCUGAUGCCUCUUGGAUGUUGUUGUCAUUCUGUUUCCUGUUGCUAC